rnacentral:tRNA from 2 species
UGCGGGCUAAGUUAAUGGCAAGACGCAUGGUCUCAUAAGCCAUGAGAGAGGGUUCAAUUCCCUCCCCGCAACCA